rnacentral:lncRNA from 1 species
AUGGCUCCCCAACCCCGGCCUGCUCCCUUUCUCCCGGGGCUCUAUCCCGCAGCAGGGAGGUUAGAGACGUCGGGCCAUCCCUCCCCGUCUCCUGCCCACCAGCCACCCGGGCAGGUCUUCUCCUCCGUCCCGUCCGGGGCUGGCCUCGCCUCCCCCUCCCCUCCACCCCGAGGUGUUGGGUUUGUGGGGAGGUGGGGGGGGUUGUCUCCAUGUAGUGUGUNNNNNNNNNNCCCCCCCCCCCCCAACCUCCUCCGCCCCGGGGUGGGAGACCAGGUCUACCGCUGCCCUCCGGGCGCCGAGGGAGGAGCCGGCGACAAAAAGAGAGAGAGCCCCGCUUUAACCCUCCUCUCCCCUCUUGCCUUUCCCCCCUCCCCAACACCCCCUUCAGGUGAGGGCCGCGCCGUCGAGGCCGGAGGCGACGCGGGAGCAGCCAGGGCCGCCGGCAGGCUCACCCUCGUCAGAGCGAGGCCUCUCGGUCACCCUCCUUACCCUCCCAGGAACAUCUGCUGGGGAAGCACGAUACAGCAAAGAUUUUCAUCCACCUCCAUGGACACCUGUCUCUGGGAAGGGCCCUCAGCUGAUUCCCCUGCUCCUCCCGCCUCGUCUCCUCCCGAGCACAAGCCCAGUUUUCCUGGUGAACCCAGGAGUGGAAAACUGGGAGGCAGGGCAGCAGGCAGAGGAGUGAGCCUGAAUCCCAGGAGCCAGUUCAGCAGAUGUGAUCCCAAAGCCGGGUUGGCCGCUCUCUCCUGGCCCUUGGACGCUCACAAAGUUCCCCGUCGGAGGAGAGGAAGCAGAUGUCAGGGCUCGUCAAUAUUCCUCAGGACAGAUUUCUUCCGCAAAGUCCUUUCAGAGCAGAUCUACCAGUGCAAUGUCAGUGAUAACAGGUUGAAAAGGAUGAUAAAAUAA